AGGUCGUGGGUCUGUUAAAAAGAAGCUACGUGAUGCAUUUGAGAGACAGCUCGUCCAUCAGUCUUGAUGAAGAGCUGUACCCUGACAUCAAUGGCAUAACAGUGCUGUUUACUGGACCUUACUGUUUCGUUGCCUGGUCCAGGACGUACACUGCUUACACCGCUGUGAGGCUGCUGUUGGUGUGGACCCUCCCCGAAUGGCUCUCAGAGGUGGGGGUAUCAUUGUGUUACACAAUCAACAGGUCAACUUGCAUAUGGUGGCUGCCCCCAAAUUUGACUCAUUUGAGUGCCUUGUUUUGAGUGUUUCUGCCCCUUGUUUUUAAUGCAGUGGCUACAGUCUACAGGCCUCCUAAGUCAAAUAAAGACUUUUUAUCUGA